rnacentral:antisense_RNA from 1 species
ACUCCUGCGUGGUGCGAGUGGGAACGCGCGCGCGCGCGCCUGGGACUGUGGUGAGGAUGAAAUCAGGGAAAUCAGUCACAGCAGUGCUCUCCUGGCACAGGCAGGAGAAUCGCUUGAACCCAGGAGGCAGAGGUUGCAGUGAGCCGAGAUCACACCACUGCACUCCAGCCUGUAAUGUCUUACAAUAACAGAAUGCAGGAGAGCACAUAUCAAUGAAGAAAAGACAAAAUGUACUUAUCCAUGAAGCUGAGGUUAAGAAACCAGUGUCUUCAAGAGCCAGGGACAGCACUGGGUCUGUGCAGAGUUGAGAGAUGGUGAUGACAUGUGGUUUCCAGCAUUCCUCGCCCAGUCCAGGGACACUGUGGGUGUGCCCAGCUUAAGUCCAGUCCAGUAACUGGAAAUACAAGCCCAAGUUCUGGAGAGUUUGAGCUGCAG